UGAACUUAAGCCCCAGUAAACGGCGGCCGUAACUAUAACGGUCCUAAGGUAGCGAAAUUCCUUGUCGGGUAAGUUCCGACCCGCACGAAAGGCGGAACGAUUUGGGCACUGUCUCAACAACAGACUCGGUGAAAUUGUAAUUCCGGUGAAGAUGCCGGAUACCUGCGACAGGACGGAAAGACCCCAUGGAGCUUUACUGUAGCUUGACAUUGGGU
rnacentral:rRNA from 1 species